UACGUAGGGUGCAAGCGUUGUCCGGAAUUAUUGGGCGUAAAGAGCUUGUAGGCGGUUUGUCGCGUCUGCUGUGAAAGACCGGGGCUCAACUCCGGUUCUGCAGUGGGUACGGGCAGACUAGAGUGCAGUAGGGGAGACUGGAAUUCCUGGUGUAGCGGUGAAAUGCGCAGAUAUCAGGAGGAACACCGGUGGCGAAGGCGGGUUCUCUGGGCAUUACCUGACGCUGGAGGAGCGAAAGUGUGGGGAGCGAACAGG
rnacentral:rRNA from 1 species